rnacentral:lncRNA from 1 species
UUUCUCAAAUAUCUGAGUAAAUGUAAGGACAAGCAAGUCCGUAUACAAAACAUAUUAAAUACAUUUAAUACAAAAAAAUGUAUGUAUAUAUGCAUAUAAAAAAAGUCUAACUUACUCAGAAUAAAAAUGAUAUCAGGAAUUAAAGAGAUUGAGUGGGAGUUUUAUGAGUCCAACAGCUGUUUUUGUGGGGUCUGGUGGUCCAAAAUAAUGAUUGCAACUUGAUUCCAUCAUUGGAUAAAACCAGCCGUUAUCUUUAGGGAAGAAUUUUACAUUUGAGGUGUUGACAGAAUGGAGUUUGCUUGUCCUCUACCUGCUCAAGUUUAAAUCUCUUGAGCACUACAAAAUGUAUUCUAUACAAGGAACACCUAUCUCUAAUCUAUGAAAUAUACAGGGUAGCCCAAAAGUAGGUUUACAGUUAUCACAGGCACUUUGAAUUUCUUUUAAAACAUUUUGUUACAUUGAAAUUUCUCUGUAAUUGACAGAAAAGGGAGGUCGACAAAAUUAACUAAAUUGGCAUGGAAUAAUGGUUUAAUUUUCUUUUUUUUUUUUUUUUUCACAAUUAAGAUCUAAACUGUUUAUAUAUAAAUGUGAAAGAGAGAUAGUUGAAUAAUUGUAAACCUACCUUUGUGCCACCCUGUAUAUAAAUCUAUAUAAGUGGGGAAAUUCAAGUGAGAAACCAACUAGCAUGGAGGAAACUUCUGAAGUCAUGCCAAAGCCAUGGACAGCCAUAAUCACAACAACUGACUGCAGACACAUACACAAACACAUACAUUUAUAUACAUAAUCCCCCGCCCCGCCCAUGUAUAUUUUAGCUUGAUUUUUUUAAUCACUGAUUCUUUUUUGCAUUGGAAAUGAUUGAUGAAGAAAGGUGAUUAAUGAAACAGAAGCUGAACAAUGACUUACCUGCAGCCAAAACAGCAGGGAAGCUCCUUUCUGUUGGUUGAUUAUCAUUGCUAGAAAUAGCAGCCAAAUCUCCUCAGUCUUGCAUUGCAUAUAUGCCUUACUGUUUUAAAUGUAGAAAAGACAUUAAUCGACAGUGCAUGGUAAAAGUUGGGGGUGGUCAUGACUGGAACCCCCUUAUACACGUGUUUAUGGUGGAUCAGGGGCCCGAAUAACGAUAUUAAUAACGACAUUUCAUAUAAUCCGACAAUAACUAAUUUGCAUUAAAAUAUUUUUUAGAUGGCAGGUUGGGGGGGGGGGGGGCGGUGCAGUGAGUCAGCCAUUGGUCAGGUGGUGGAGAUAUAUAUACAUAUGUAUGUCUGUUAAAAGGCCAUAAUGUAUUUUUCGGUCUGAAUGCCUUGCUCCCUCUUUAUCUCCCUUUGUCCCCUUUUCUUCGUCCCUUCUUUUAUGAUGCUUUCUUAAAACCAACCAACCAACCAACCAACCAGCCAAUUCAUUCAUGUUUUAAUUCAUUUUCAUGUUUCAUUAUAUUUUUGCAUUUUUUUUUUUUUUCUGGCAACGAAAGCUUGUUUUAGAUAUUUAUUUUAUUUUGUUUAUAAUUAAUUUUUUUGUUAGGAUUAUUUUUUUAAAAUUAUUUAUUUAUUUACAUUUUUCAAAUGUUUCAUUAAAUUGUUUUGUUUUUUUUUUGUCUUUACUAUAUUUCAUUUUUCUGUUACAGAGAGAAAAAAAAAAUUGUCAAUUUUGCAUUUUGUUUCUCACUUCCUUGUUUGUUCGUAGUAUUUUUUUUUAUAUUUUUAUUUUUACUUUUAUUUAUUUUAUUUUUUUAAAACUCUUCUCUCAAACUGCUGAUCCCCGCCCCCCACCUCAACCUCCCCAAUUCCACUUUUCAUCCCUAUCCCCAGGCCUGAUCAUGCUUCCCAUCAUCAGUGUCCACCACCACCACCAGGCAACAAACACCCAUUUCUGUCUUAAUCAACAUUAGACAGCCCCUUUGUCUACCUACCUACCUACCCCCACUCUCUCUAUCUCUCUCUGUCCAUCUAUCUACCUCUCACCUAUCUACCUGUCUAUCUCUAUCACCUGCCUCCCAUGCUGUGCUUUAUUUUUUUUUUUUUUUACAUUACCUGGAAUAUUUUUAAUUUGUGGUUGUGCUUUUUUUUUUACUAUUAUCAUUAUAUAUAUAUAUAUACACGCACACAGACAUACAUACACACACACAUAUAUAUAUACAUAUAUAUACACAUGUAUAUAUAUG